GCUGCACGUGAGAAGAAGGAGAAAUUCUAGGUAUAUCACAAGCCACUCAUUCACAGUAUCAGCCACAAGAAGCCAUGUCUUCUUGAGUUGAGCCUCCGAGCAAUUUGGAAAGGAGUUUUAUCUGGUUCUGUGAAGAUCUCUCUUCUGCUGAU